UACAGAGGUCCCGAGCGUUGUUCGGAUUCACUGGGCGUAAAGGGUGCGUAGGUGGUCGGGUAAGUCUGAGGUGAAAUCUCCGAGCCCAACUCGGAAACUGCCUUGGAUACUAUUCGGCUAGAGGGUUGGAGGGGGGACUGGAAUUCUCGGUGUAGCAGUGAAAUGCGUAGAUAUCGAGAGGAACACCGGUGGCGAAGGCGGGUCUCUGGGCCGAUACUGACGCUGAGGAGCGAAAGCGUGGGGAGCGAACAGG
rnacentral:rRNA from 1 species